UUCCCUGUUCAUCCUUCUGAUAUAUUUGAAGAAACUCUUGUUCUGUUUUACUUCCUUUGCCAAUUUCAGUUCCAAGAGGGCUCCUCACUCCAACCUCCCUUCAGGUAGCUGUAGAGAGCAAUGAGGUCUCCCCUCUGUCUCCUCCAGACUGAGCAACCCCAGCUCCUCAGAUGUUCUUCAUAGGCUGUAUGCUCCAGGCCCUUCACCAGCCUCAUUGCCCUUCUCUUGAAUGUGCUGCAGCACCUCAAUGCCCUUCUUGUAGUGAGGGGCCCAGAACUGAACACAGUACUUGAGGUGUGGCCUCACCAGUGCUGAGGACAGGUGGAUGAUCACUCCCCUGUUCCUGCUGGCCACCCUGUUUCUAAUACAAGCUGGGAUGCCACUGGCUUUCUUGGCCACCUGGGCACACUGCUGACUCAUACUUGGUUGCCUGUCAACCAGUGUGCCCUGGUCCCUCUCCAAGCUGACACUUUCAAGCCACACAGUCCCAAGUCUGUAGCUUACUAUGGGGUUGUUGUGACCCAAGUGGAGGACCUGGGCACUUGGCCUUAUUGAACUUCAUACAAUGCGCCUUUUCCAAUUGGUCUAACCUCUCCAGAUCCCAUUGUAAAGCCACCCACCUUGUUGUUGUCUGCAAACUGAAUUCCUUCAUUUAGAUCAAUGAUAAUAAAAAGGACAGACUCCAGUACUGAACCCUGGGAGACAGCAGUGACUGGGUACCAGCUGGGUUUAGCUGUUUACCAGUACUCUUUGGGCCUGGCCAGACAGCCAGUUUAUAAUCUGAUCCUCAAAUGAUGGCCAUAGAAGAAAGGAGGGCCUGACUGUUGUGAUCCUUCAGCUCUAUACUAAGCAUGAUAUACAUGGAAUGGAAUAACUUGUUGGUCAGGUUUGGGUCACCUGUCUUGUCUGCUCCUCCCUGCAAGUGUGACCUUACGUACUUGCAGCACUACAAUGCGGCACACAAGAUUUAGCAGUGACCUUGGUUUCUAUAGGAGCAAAUAAUAAGCAAGAGCCUUUCUGCAUACCAAUCCUUAGUAGUAACUAUAAACACCAAGUGCUAUCACUUAAUGAAGCAGACACUGCACAGAAAUACACUGCUAUCUUCCAAACAUGCACCCACUUAACAGAAAAUCACUGAACAGAGAAUUGGUUCUGUUUUAGUUCAAAACAGGACAGAUAUGCGCUCAGCCCGUUUGCCUAUGCCUCCUGAAAAAGGUUUGUAGCCAGGGUGCCCAGAAACAUUUGGGAUAUAUUAAGUGAUGAAAGGGAAGCUAACAUCCUCUUCCCUGUCAGGAAACAUUCAGGCUCUGGAUGAGUUAGUAGCAACAUCACUGAGGAUGUAGAGCCAAUAACUGAUUUUUUACUGGGCAGAUACAUUGUCACAGGUGGUGAAGGGUGCCGUCACACACUCCUGCAUGUGGAGACACAUGCAGCCACACUUCAGGAAUGCCCCAAGGGCUGCAGAGUGGAGAGACAAUACAAACCGUAGCCCUGUAUUGAACCACAUGCUCCUGAUGUGGCAGCAGACAUGGCAAGAGUUUGGUUACUGAUACAUCAACACCACUGUCCAUCUGCUGGUACCUCCAGUGGGAUCUGCACUAGUUGGAUAGCUUAAGGUACAAACCACCAUUCCAUCUGAGGAGGGAUGCAGGCACUCCCUCCCUUCCCUUCAGUUGCUCCCAGCAAUAUAAAAUUUUCCUUGGCUCGUUCUGGAAGAACACUUGAUUUGGUUCUUUCUGGGUAACAGACCUUUCAAGGCAGUUAAGUAUCUGUAAAAGCAAAAUUCAUUCUGAAAACUCCUUAUUUUCUGCACUAGGAUCUGCCAGAACAAGCCAUUGGGACUCUCUCAUUUCCCUUCCAUGGGUGUUUCCUUAAAGGAAAAGACAAAAAUGCCAAACUCUGGCUGCCAAGCUGUGGAGGUACAUAAAUAUCCCAGGGCUGUGCCAAAGCAGUAGCAGCAGCCCUCUCCCAAGAGUGUCCAGGAGCCACUGGGGAGAUACUGGGUUUAUUGGAAGUGUCUCCCAGCCUCCACUUCUUCACUGCUGAGCAAACUCUGAAGCUUCCACAAUGUCUGGCAGGGCUGGACUCUGAACAGUACCUUGUGGACCAGAGUGCUGGAUCACAGCAAUUCCUUCCACCCCCCUCCUUUCUUUCAGGGAAAGCUGCUCCUACUGUGGCCACAUAUGGGAGCCAACUAGUUGGCACACAUGCCAGGAGCUGGUGUGGCACUCAGUGGUCCCUGCUCCAUGCAUAAAAUACUUCUUUUUGUAGAAGAGGAGCAGACAAGUUCAUGCAAAAGGUGCAAUUGAAGGAAUGGCCUAGUUCUAGGAACCAAAUAUGUUUGUGUUCUCUGAUAAAUACUGAAAUAGUUCUUGCUGUGCUACCACAGCUGCUUUCUCCAAGCUCUCAGAGAAAACAGAGAGGAUACACAAGACACUUUUAUUUGCACAAGUAAUUGACAUCUUUUUGAGGUGUUUGCCUUACUAUUUAACAGCUUACUAAGUUACCUUUCUUUACAAAUGACUCCUAUUAUUCCAGGGUAGCUGCUUGCAUAACAGGGCGUGCGCUAGAGGCUGGGAAGCAGCGAGCUGAAUAGCUGCCCUGCUGAAAAGGAUAGGACUUAGAGUAGACGCCAAGUUGAAUGUGGGCCAAGAGAGUGUUCUCAUUUCAAAUAAGGCAAACCACGGUCUGGGCUCCGUCAGGAAGUAUGUGGUCAACAACUCAAGUGAUGCACUUACCCCUCAGUACGUGACACUGUUGAGGUAGUGCAUCCAGUACUGCUGUCCAGCUCGGGGCCUCUGUGUCAACAAGGAUGUUGAAAGUACAUAGAGGCUCCAGUGAAGGGCUCCUUGGUGGUCAGAGAGCUCAAGCUCACUCCCUCUGGAAAAAUGGUGAAAGGAGUUGGACUUACUCUGAGGAGGAGCAGACUGUAGGGUGACCUAAUAACUACCUAAUAUUAUCUGCAGGACAGUUACAAAGGUGAAGUGCCUCAGUAGUUGCAGAUGAUGCAUCAAGGGGCAACGGCCACAAACUCUGUCUUGGGAGUUUCAUGCCAGACAGCAGGACAAACUGUUUUACUAUGAGGGCAGUGCAGUACUGGAAUAGGUUGCCCAAGGGGUCUUGCACUUUCUACCCUUGCAGGUUUUCAGGCUUCAGCUAGGCAAAGCUGCAGCUGACCUGAGCAUUAGUGCCAGUCCUGCUGCAAGGAGGAGGGCAGACUGCAACUCCAGAGGGCCUCACCAACAUUCCUGUGAUACUGCAACCUGCUGAGAUUGUGCAAAACCCAAGGCUUCUGCCAAAGCCCAGUGCAGUUCAGGGUAACUUCCCACUGUGCUUUCAGGAAUGCAUUCCCUCCAGUGCAGUGCUCCCAGGCUGCUCUGGAGGCCCCACAGCACCUCAGGUGCUCCAACAGCAGCAGGGAGCAUAACAUAAAGAAGACAGUGAGCACAGCAUGGACAUUCAGGUACAUAGCUUUGCUGCUUGCAGCUUGCAUGUGGUGCUGCACAUGGACUUGCCUCUGCUAGCUCAGCUGUGUCUUAGUAUGACGUGAGCAAACUCCAAGGAUAAUUUCUUUCAGAAAAUAUUACAGUAAAUCCCUCUACCAAUGCUUACUCAUUUCCUCUCCCAUCUCUUACCACCUUCUUACCACAAAGUCCUUUUAUAGUACAAAGGCUUAUCUUACUUGCUCAACAGCCUCACAAAGCUGAAAGUUCAGCAGAGCCCGAAAGUAGCUCUAGCCUGUGUGUGAAUAGCUUGCAUGGAGACUGAAAAAUAGAAUCAAGCCUUUCGUGUGUCUCUCACCUUGCAAACAACCACUGGCAUUUUAAGCAUACAUUUAUGUCUGGGAAGAUCUUCAGUACUAUUCUGGGCUUUCAUUUAGCAACCAUCUUGGGCAUCAGCAUUUCAGAGCUCAUGCUCCAUCAGUGCUCCUUGCCAGCAGAGACCUCCCUACAUCUUAAGCACUUUCUUUUCAGAACUUGGGAAGAAACCUCCAGAGCAGAGUAGCAGAAGAGUUAAUGUAGAAUAACGUGACACAAAUGAAGGUCACAGUCAGACCAGAAAAUACAUCAGUUAUCAGAGGUAUGCUAACAAGCAGCCAUCUGAUCCUAAGAGUGAACUAACACUGGGAAAAAAGUGUCCUUGUGUGCAAACCAGGCAGCAGAUCCCCAAAUCAUUAGUGUCCAUUGCAUCUGCCCUUGACUAACAAGUUGAUAAAAACCUUUUGAGCCUGGAAAUGUUUGAGUGAAAAAUUGGCUGCAUUGUCUUACCUGUGAUUUUGACUUCUAGGACUAAAAUUACUCAGCAGAUCAAAGAUUGUCUACUAAACCAGAAGAGAGCAAUAAACUUGCUCUAAGAAACAGACACGGAGUUCUCUUGGAGCCCGAGAAGAUUACAGUCCUCUCUAAUAGAAGCAAGUUCCCAAACAACUGAAGGCAGUAAGGUUCACUUCACAGUAGUAAUGUGAAGCAAAACACUACAUAUCAUUACGACAAAUAAACCAUAACUGAUACCUGAUAUAUCAAGACCAUCAAGCCAGGUUAAGUUUUGCACAGAAAACUAUUUAUAGUGGUAUUACUUCAGCAUUUAAAAUAUUCUGCUAUCCAGUUUUGA